rnacentral:rRNA from 1 species
UACGAAGGGGGCUAGCGUUGCUCGGAAUCACUGGGCGUAAAGGGCGCGUAGGCGGGUCUUUAAGUCAGGGGUGAAAUCCUGGAGCUCAACUCCAGAACUGCCUUUGAUACUGAAGAUCUUGAGUUCGGGAGAGGUGAGUGGAACUGCGAGUGUAGAGGUGAAAUUCGUAGAUAUUGGCAAGAACACCAGUGGCGAAGGCGGCUCACUGGCCCGAUACUGACGCUGAGGCACGAAAGCGUGGGGAGCAAACAGG